GGUAUUAUGUUAGUUGAAAUACAUCAGACAGAGGAAUACAAAUACUUUAUGAUUUCACUUAUAUGUGAAAUAUAAAAAGCAAAAUAAAUGAACAAACAAAAAACACUCAUAGAUACUGAGAAAAAAACUGAUGGUUGAGAGGGAGGGGGUGUUUGGGGAC